CUGACGGCUCUUGUGUAGCUUGUGAGCGUCACAGAGGAGCUUUUUUUCAUAGACAGCUUUUAAUAGUUUGUAGCUCAGACCAUUCGUACUCGCUCAAAUUCCAUGGUCGGGUUCCCUUUUGUAGGGCAAUGUGAACACACUCGACUACUGCAACACCGUUUCUCCAGCUAUAACCCCUCACAUUGGUUCUGCAAAAGAGAGAAGAUGGCGAUGUGCAGAGUCCGAUCCCAUCAACAUCUGCAGUGGCAACAACAUCAAGCUCAGCACCAGGAACUAGUUCACUUCCUGUUUGUGCUGCCUGCGUUUCUCCAGAACUUGCUGCUGAAGAAAAAUGGAAAUGAACACGCUGGCUAAAUGCAUCAUCGACCUUGAGUAAGGUACGGACACUAUGGAAUGCCCUCAGAGUAAAGGAAGUAUAUAGCACCUCAUGGAUCUGAAUGUCUCUGACCUGUAUGGUGAUGUGAAUGGCUCUUUCCGUCCUCAGUAGAAGAAGUUCAGAGGAACACAUUAUUCCGCCUCACCAUUUGUUACACUACCUCAUUGUAUGAUAAAGACAGGGAGUUAGCAUGUGUCACAUUGAUGGACCUCAUAGAGAAUUCAACUGGCAUCCGGUACCCAGCAGUCAUCUGUAAACUCCCUCUGAACUUAGAAAAAGUCUUGUCUCACAUCAAAAUAAAGACCCUAGGGUACAACAGAUCUUUACUAGGUACAAUGGACUGUGCUGUAAGUUUAGCACGCAAUGAGAAACAGUAGGGCAUUCUGCUCGCAAUAUCUGGGAGACACAGCCUGUCAUGGGGGCAGUCAAAAGAGACUGGAGUUGCAUGCUAUGAGGUAAGGUAGUUGUGCAGAGAGAAGGCUAUCAUACUGUAGCUAUCUAUGAGAUGCAGGAAGUGGAAUGUGGAAUUAAUACGCUAACAAAGACAUAUAGUAUCGUGCAGCUAGCAUAUUGUUUUGUGAAGGUUUGGUGGGUUAGAAUGACAGCUCUCUAAAGAUCAAAACUGCACUUAAUUUACAAAUAAAAUAUCAUAUUGACUGUGCAAUCAAACAAUCAUUGUAGCAUACAGUUAGCCAUGGAGAUUUAUUUGAGCAUUAGUUUUUUACAAUCGCUAGGACCCAUUUCUCAAUACUUAGGUCACAUUUUCAAAACUCUUCACACCGUGAACACAACAGCAGUCUAUGUGGGCUAAACUGUGGAUCAUUUUUCUUUGGUUUGGCACAAAAUGCAUUCAAUGACUACGUCUUUCAAAUGUCAUGAAUUCUUUUCUCACUCAGACACGACCACCACUAAAAACGUAUGUACCUUAAGGCCAAUUUGCACAUGUUUACAUACUCUUUUCAAAACUGUUAAACGUAUGUUCAAAACCUAUCAUAACACAACAUUGAAUGAGACCGCAAUUUGCUACAUUUCUACAGUAAUACCGCUUUGAAAUAUAUUCUACAUCUAAAAAAUGAAAUACUAUCAGAACAAUUAGACCAACCACAGCUGAUUCCCAUUGUAGCUGAACACCUACCCAGGUCUUAGUCUUUCAAUUACAUUACCAUCUAUACAAAAGGGGACAUCUUAGGAAUAAUGCUGUACUGUAAUGUAAACAUGGACCCAGCCAGAGAGAGAGAAGUGGCUGACAGAGGAAGAAGAGUGGCUGGGAGAGGGAGAGGAGUACGUAUGCGUGGUGGAAGAAGACCGAGAGGAAGAUCAAGAGCUGUAGUCUCAGAUGAGUUUAGGGGCCACUAUAAUUGAUAAUGUAAUAAAUGAUGGUCCAUCAAUGAGAGAGGCUGGUCUGAGAGUGCAGCCAAAUCUGCUACUCUCAACAGUUGCAUCUAUUGAGAAACUUCUGGCAAAACAACAGGUAAGAUGUGCAUUCUGCAUCUGACUGAACAUCACAUUACAGAAGUCUAUUGAGCAAAGCCUCCAAACCUACUUGUGUGUAAUUGUUUUUGUGUUUCUGAUUAGGACCGAACGGUUACAUCCUACAGGUGGGAGAGGUAGGAUUUUCACUGCUGUGCAGGAAACUGCAAUCGUUGAUAUGGUCAUCAGAAACAAUGGCAUAAAACUGACAGAGAUUUCGGGACAGAGUGUUGGCAGACAACAUUACAUUUGGAAAUAUUCACAAUGUAAGCAUAACAACUAAUUCUAGAGUCCUGAAACAACAUCAAGUCAGGAUGAAGCAGUUGUACACUGUCACCUUCGAGAGGAACUCUGAACGAGUCAAGCAACUCAGGGACCAAUAUGUCCAGGUAAGAUGAAUAUAAAAUAGAGAACUGGUUUUGAACUAAACCAAACAGGGCAGAGGCACACAAUGGCAUGUUUUUAGGUACAAACUACCGUAAUAGCCUAACUCUUAUGAUGCCAUGUGGAUUUAUUUUAGAUAGUCAUGGAGAUUGAAGCCAGGCAAACACCCCUCAUAUUCAUCUUUGUGGAUGAGGCUGGUUUCAACUUGGCCAAAACACGGCGGCGAGGAAGGAAUGUGAUUGGGAAAAGAGACACUGUGGAUGUCCCGGGCCAGAGGGGUGCCAACAUCACAAUGUCUGUAGCAAUAUCCUCUGAUGGAUGGCUGUUACACAAAUCGCUAAUUGGGUCAUACAACACCGAGCGUCUCAUUUCAUUCCUGCAUGACCUCUAUGGAAGGGUUGUGCCAGGUGAGGAAAGGGGUACAGUGAGGUGAAAUUGGCCAACGUUUGUAAUUGUAUGGGACAAUGUGGCAUUUCACCACUCCCAUGCAGUCACAGAGUGGUUUGCAGCACAUCCCAGGAUGGUGUCACUUUUCCUCCCACCUUACUCUCCAUUCCUCAACCCCAUAGAGGAAUUAUUUUCCUCAUGGAGUUGGAAGGUUUAUGACCACCAUCCACAUGAUCAAAUGUCCCUCCUGGACGCAAUGAAUGCUGGAUGCCUGGACAUACGUAUCUGCAGAAGAUUGCCAGGGAUGGACCAGGCAUGCCAAAAGAUUCUUUCCUAUGUGUAUUUUCCAAGAUGACAUAAGAUGUGAUGUGGAUGAGAACCUGUGGCCAAAUGCAGAAGACAGGGUUGACUGGCAUUGCUACUGUAUCUGUAUCGGUAGAUGGUGUAUAUACACAUUAUUGUAUUUUGGAAUCACUCAAUGCCAAAAAAUGACACAAAACAUAUUGAAGCAUAUUGCAUCAGGUCUGAUUCAUUCCUCUAACAUAAACUGAAGUGAAUUCUAAACAGUAGAGAGGUGUCAUUCUUGUCUUGUAAAG